ACUUUGGGGCACCCCCAAACAACCACUGCCUCCCACAAUCAUUCCCUAUUCCAACGUCCACAUCUCCUCUCAAUCCCAGCCGUCAAAUUUCCACUGUCCGUCGCAAUCUCAAAUUUAGAAUCCUUUACUAGUUAAGAUCAUCCUACUAAAAACCCAUUACACUAAAUUCGAUUACACCGGAUUAGAUACCGUUGCUUUGAUUCAUAAUUUCCAAAUUUCUCACAGAGCAACAAAAGCAGAGAAAAAGGGAAAAUCUCAGUUAGUUCAUUUUUAAAUUCAAAUAAAUAAAUAUUCUUCUUGAUUUGCUUACAAGCCUACUCUCUCAGUCUCUCUCUUGUAGCUGCUUUCUUGUGGAUUGCUAGAUUUGAGCUGCGAAAGUAUUGCAUUUACAGGGUAUUUGCAGUUUCGCGUGAUCUUCAUGUAAUGGGAAAAUCUCCCGGAAAAUGGAUUAAGACUGUGCUUUUUGGAAAGAAACCUUCCAAAUCUAGUUAUCCUAAAGGAAGGGAGAAGGUUGCCAAUGACAGCCAGGUAUUGGUUGCAGCCAGGGCAUCAGAAAGUGAUUUGGCUGUGGCUCCUCCCUUCUCUUCACAGCUCAAUCCUCAUACUACUGAGAGAGAUGAAAGGAGAUUAGAAUUGGAGAACAAGGAAACUGCAAAUAUCUCACAUGAUGAUGAGACAUCACUGCCAAUGAGUCAAGACAUAGAUUCUCAGAAGUUCACUCUUCAGGAUUCACCUUCUAAUCCUGAAAGGAUAAAGCAAGAACAAUCGGCGACCCUGGUGCAGGCUGCUUUUAGGGGUUACCUGGCUCGCCGAGCGUUCUGGGCACUCAAAGGGAUUAUAAGGCUGCAAGCACUUAUUCGUGGCCACUUGGUUAGGAGACAAGCUAUCUCUACUUUGUGCUGUAUGAUGGGAAUUGUCAAGUUACAAGCUCGCGUUCGUGGACAAAUGGUCAGACAUUCUGAUUGUGUCCACGAAUUGCAGAAAAAAUGCAAUCAAAUAAACCUUCUGGAGAGCAAGCUUGUAGUUUCUCUUGGAUUUAAUAUGCCCUCACACAUUGGAAAGUUGUCAGCACAUGCUUUUGUUCGUAAGCUCAUUGCUUCAUCACCAACUGUAAUGCCUUUGCGCCUCCGUUAUGAUGUUGGGGAACCAAAUUCUGUCUGGAUCUGGUUAGAGCGUUGGUCAGCAUCCUGCUUCUGGAAACCAGUUCCUCAACCAAAGAAAACCUCCAACACUAAAUUCGAGAAGAAGCGGGUUAAUGGUCAAACUGUUGAAAUGGAUACAGGUCGAGCAAAACGUAGUGUCCGCAGGAUUCCUCCCGCAAAUAUGGAUACGUCUGUUCAAGCAACUUCUGAAUUUGAUAAGCCCAAGUGUAACCCGAGGAAAAUUUCCGGCCACCCAGCUGAGCCCGUGCAGGAAAACCCACAAAAUGAGCUUGAAAAGGUUAAACGCAAUUUGAGAAAGGUUCAUAAUCCUGUAGUAGAACAUUCAUUGCAGUCAGAGUUUGAAUUUGAAAAGCUAAAGAGUUUGGAAAAGGUCUCAAGUACUCCGGACCUUGAUAUGGUAGAAGAGAGCCUGAAUAGGUCAGCUGAGAAGACUAGCAAAGAGGCGGCCAUGGCAGCUAAUAAUUCAGCUAAUAAAAUGAAGAAAGAGACGGCGCUGACAGUAAAUAGCUCAGUUGAGAAGAGGAAGAAAGAAAUGGCAGUGGCAGUAAAUAGCUCAACUGAGAAGAUGAGUCGAGAGAUGACAACUGUAAAUAUCUCAGCUGAGGGGCUGAACAAGGAGAUGGCUGUGACAGUGAAUGGGUCAUCCGAGAUCAUAAAGAAACAGGUUACCACAGCAGCUUCAGAAUCACCCGAGAUUGAAACUAUGCCGUGGCCAUUAGGGAUGAAUGAGACAGCGGAUUCAUUACAUGCUGAUUGUGCUGCUGUUGACUCAAAGCCUUCGAUAGGUAUAGCUAUUAAAGAUGAGAAUUCUCCCAUAACAAAUGUGGAGUUAAAGAGGAAGGACGGAUCCAUGAAUAAUGAGCCGCAGCUCCAGAAGUCCGGCAAGAAAGCUUCUAAUCCUGCAAAACAAGUUGGCACAGAAAAUGGACAUCAGAACAGUCCUGUACUGCCAAGCUACAUGGCAGCUACUGAAUCUGCCAAGGCUAAGCUGAGACUACAAGGCUCUCCUCGCUCUGGCCAGGAUGGAGAUGACAAAAGUAACCUCAGUCGUCGCCAGUCUUUCCCAUCCCCAGCCAAUAGUAAACUCAGCUCACAUUCACCAAGGACACAGAGACUGGUUCAUUCAGGGAAAGUGGAGAACAAAAGAGACAGAUCCGCUUUAUCAUCCCGAGAUGGAAAUGGUCUCAAUCACUGAGUUCAUAGUAAAAGUACUAUGGAGCCCUUUUACUAGGAGCCAAUUGCAUUGUCACCUCCACCUAAAAAUGGCAAAAGCAACACAAGUGGAGUGGAGGAGGUGAUCUUGUGUUGCGUUAAGGGGUUGAAGAUUCAUAUGCUUUGCGGAUAUUUAUAUAUAUAUAUAUUCUUUGAUGUAGGAUAAAAGAAGUAUGCUAUGAAACUGAAACCGGGUAUUAUACCCGAAGGUGUGUGCUGGCCGAUUGCCUCUAAAGUUUUCCUUUUCUGGGUGUUUGUGUAUAGAAAUAGAAUACGGUUUGAACUUUCAGCUAUUAAAUUUUGGGUAAAGUACCUAAGUUGUCUGUAUCUGUUUUUGUGGGUUUGUUUUUACAAAACUCUAAUAUUCAAUCAAACAAAAUCAAAUCAAGAUUUUGUUUUUAUUGAAAUCUUCUAGUGCGAUUUGUUGGUAUUUUCGAGAAUAUAUUAUUAGCUUUGUUGA